AGUGGAUGUGUGUUCGUGCCAGCUGUGUGAGCGGUUGUGGCCAUACAUCCGGGGACGCUGGGGUCGAUCGGGGAUAUGCGAGUAGGCCUCUCUUCAAAUGUUUUGUCUUCAUUUCUUAAUAUCAUCUUUCAGACAGAAAGCUAUCAUCCUUGUACUCUUCUGUGGCCACCUUGCUCCUUCACCAGACCCACCUGGAGACCCGACAGUCAGCUGCCUCAGGUAUGUUUCUGAAGGCGACUCGGUGACAUGCGAAUGUCAGGCCCGCUUCCACGAUGACAGGCCCCCAGACUUUUCUCUGACAUGGCCUGGACACUCGGACACCACCUCUCUGUCACUGACCAAUGUCAUGCGGCGAGAUAACGGAUCUGUGUUCACCUGCUUGAUGAUCUGGAACGAACAUCGCAGAACUGCCAGCUACACACUGCAAGUUGCUUAUGGACCAGACGACAGCCAUACCAUCAUCCGGGGUCCAAAGACGUUUAUCACAGACGGCACAAAGUCUCUCAUCCUGACCUGUAUGGCGACUGAGGUGAACCCUCCCCCAACGUAUAUCUGGGAUGCAGCCUUGUGCAAGGAAGACAGGAAAGCUGGCACCUGCACUUUAACACCCGAUCCUCAGUUUGAUGACAAUCAGCAAAUUACAUGCACCGCCAAAUGUGUAGAAGGUGCCAGCAGAACAGGUGUCGCGGUGUUUUUUCUUAAUCUUACAUAUCCACCAAAAGAGCCACCAGUGAUCACAGGUUAUAAACAAGGUGAUGUCAUCUCACACGACAGUCAGCUACGAUGCAGUGUUGCCGGAGGAAAACCGCAAGUGUCAAAGGUUAUCCUCACCUGCGAGAGUCUGGUAAUGAAGUACUCGAACAUUGUGAAUGGCACCGUGUCAGCCUCUUUCAUCGUCGAUAAGGCGAACAAAGUCAUGAACAACAGCAUUCUGUGCACGUGUCGGGCGGUGUGGGAACCUGAGGAAGAUCUGUACACACUGACAAGCCAGAUUCUUCUCCAGACAGAAGACGGUGACAAUGUUCGCAGUCGUGAAUAUGUCGGGUGGAUUGGAGGACUAAUCAUUGGUGCAGUUCUGGGCGUUUCUAUCUCCUUCUUUAUAUCUUACAUGAUAAGAAGAGUUCGUUUAAAAGCUAGAGCACAAAAUGAUUUUACACCGGACAACUCAGCGACAUCAAUAACAUCUACAGUUCCGCUGAUGGGAUGAAGUGUAUUCACAUGGUCACAUGUUCACUGCGCUUAAACUAUGACGAGCUAACAUUUGCUGGGUUCAAGAUGUGGGGAUCAUAGUUGUUGUACUUGUUGCUGACUACCAUAUCGUAUGGUUCAACCACUCCCUAUGCUCUUUUCCCGUGUUUAGAGGCUAAAAGCCCAGUUUACGAGCGAACUAAUAUGCCACAGGGAGAGUAUCCAGAAAACAAUUUCAAUCUGGAAGAUGAUAUUAAGAAAUAAAACACAAUGUAAGAAGAAAGUUUUCCAGAACCCAAGAAGGAAAAUAUCAUUAUAAAAAGAAUUCAGUUCCUUAAAAUGCAAUGAAUAUUGUUUAAUGACAAAGACAAUCGUUUUACACAAAAAAAUCCUCUCGUUUACAAGUUUACAACUACACUAAGCUUUAUAUCACCAAAAUACAGAAUGUCUAUAAUGAGAAAAGUUAAAAAAAAUUAACAAAGUAGUUUUGCUUUGAGAAAUCAACUUUAUUAAAACAAUAAAAGGAUUUUUUCUAAAUGUAUGAGAUUCUUUGCACCUCUGUCACACCUUUCGCACCUUUUUUUCAACUCUCUGGAUAAUGCACCUGAACUGUUUACUGGGACGAGUUUUAGACAAGACUAAAACAUCGACUGCAUUGUUACUUGUGGAACGACGAUAAAUAUGUCCGUUUGAAUUUGGAUCCUGUUAUUUUAGUGACGAUUGAGGGUGUUGUAUGAACCCCAUCGGAGGGUGUCGUAUAAUUUCCCUUCAUCUUUGCAGGAGUCAGGUUUCUAUAAAAGCAAAAGUUAAUCAUGCUUCGAUGAUUAUUUCAUCUUUCUCUUCCUUUAUAUAUUCAUACAUAUAGAUAUCUCAUUUAUGUUAAAAUAAUUAUCUUUAUUCUCAAGUUUCUUGUAUCGAUAUAAACAUGUAAAACACUGUAUUAUAUUUUAAGAAAAUCAUGAAAUGUUAAUAUAAAAUAAAAAAAAUGGAGCGCAUGACUCACAUUGAGUGAUGAAAAGCUGAUGGAGGCUUGAUUGAGGACAAGUUUAUCAAACCUCUCCUGUGUGUCCCGAGCAGGUGUUCUUGAGGAUGAACAGGUGUUUGUCGGAGCUGUUGACAUACAAUUUUCUCUGUUUAGAAGAUAAUUUUAACCCUUCUCCAAAAAAGAUAUGUUUUAGCUACAUUUGCUAGCAUGUACAGUUUAAUAUGUGAGAGGUCUUCUUCAUACUUUCAAACAUUUUGUAGCCAUAACAGACGAGUUAUUACUCACAGAGUGUAUACAUCUUUACCUAUGGCUGCUGUGAUGUUAUUUAGAUGAUUUCUCAUCGUCGAUUCUCCGUCGAUGUGAAUGUCGAUUUCUGUGUACGGACCAUCAUCGGAGUCUGUCAACAGCUGAGUUGUCUUCACUGGACUGAUUCCUAACCUCGGUGUAAAGAACCCUUCCGUUCUUUUUUCAGAGUCCAAACCCGUAGAACAGGAAUGAAAAAUCUUUUGGGAUUUUGAUAUUUUACAUGCAAUAUUUUCACAUGAAAGUGCUUUACUUUUUGAAACACUGAGCACAUGUGAAUUAUGUUCAACGAUAAUGCCAAUGCUACAUCCCUGGAUUGCCAGUUCAUCAACUUCUUCAUAAUCUGGAGACGAUGUUUGAUGAGUUUGCCCAUUGCCGUUACCCUGCGGGGUGGUUUCAGGGAUCUUUUUGGCCAGAUCUAAUCAUUGGUGCAGUUCUGGGCGUUUCUAUCUCCUUCUUUAUAUUUUACAUGAAAGGAAGAAUUCGUUUAAAAGCUAGAGCACAAAAUGAUUUAACACCGGACAACUCAGCUACAUCAAUAACAUCUGCAGUUCCGCUGAUAGGAUGAGGUGUGUUCACAUGUUCACAUGUUCACUGCGCUUAAACUAUGACGAGCUAACAUUAGCUAGGUUCAAGAUAUGGUGAUCAUAGUUGUUGUACUAGUUGCUGACUACUUAUUUAUAUCGUAUGGUUCAACCAUUCCCUGUGCUCUUUUCCCGUGUUUAGAGGCUAAAAUCCCAGUUUACGAGCGAGCUAAUUCGCCACAGGGAGAGUAUUAAGAAAAAUAUUUCAAUCUGGAAGAUUAUAUUAAGAAAUAAAAUACAAUCUUCUCAGAAACUUUACUGUCGACUACGUGUACACUGACAGGUAUAUCAUGUACAGGAGGCGUUAAGAGCAACAGGAAGAUCAGGCGUUUGAGAUAUAUUGACAAAAGUCUCAACAUUAGCAUAAUGUAUCAUGUCUACUAAUAUAUCCUAAAAUCGUGCCAAAGACUGGAAGCAGGUAUGCAAGUGUAAAAUUAAAAAAAGGUAAUGUGAAAAUAUCUUGAAAAUGCACUAUAUCCUACUGCCUCAAAAUUGUAACCGUAUUCACAAGCCCUGCUUUAAAAAUUUCAGCAUAUUGUCAACAUAGAAAAUAGCCUGGUAGCAAUUUUUUAUGCAGAGAACUUUAUAGAAGGAACAAACAUCAGGUCCUUCCGGUACUUUCCGGCGGAUUCCAAGCACAGUAUAGGUCCCAACUUUCGAAUACAAACAUGCAUUUGAAGAUGCUAUAUAUUGCUUCAAAUCUUGACAGGGAUAAGUAUAAGAAAGAUUUUUUUUCUUUCAUUUUCGAACUAAAUAGUCCUAGCCUGAAUUACAUGACAGGUAAAUAUAUUGCAUGUGUGUAAUUUAGAGUACAAUAGAAAGUUGUAUUUCUAUUCAUUGCUAAUUCAUGUCUAUUCAACAUUUUUGCUACUCACUAUAUGCAUGCACGCACGUACACACGCACACAUACAACAGGAAGCGGCUAAUUAUAUCUAUAACAUAUAAUAAAACUGUAUAAUCAAUGCUUUUUCCCUGUGUUAGUCUCUACUUGCGCUCAUUUCAGUAUUAUGACUGUAUCUUUCUAUACAAAGGUAUAACUGUGUGGCUGCCAGACAAUAUGUGGUUAAGAGUCUUAGUCGUUUUUCUUUUUUUUUUUUUUUUUUUUUUUUUUUUUUGUUCUGCACAUACUUUAUGUAUUUGUUCAUAUUUCAUAUUCGUAUAGAACAAAAUGGAAAUGGUCAUAAACAUCAAUAUCCUAUAAAUGUUACGGAUGUUUUGUUACAAGGUGUUUUGAUUAUAAGACACCUCGUAUGGUAUAAAAUAACCUGAAUUGAUUAUGUAUUUGUGGGCACUGUGGUGAUGGGAUAACUCUGCAAGUUAAAGUGAUUUUUUAAUUUCUUUUUGUUCCAAUUAUGAAAGUUAAAACGUUUUUCUAUGUCUGAUUUCUAUUUCGUCUGUUUUUCUUUGAUAGUCUAUUUUGUUUCAAAUUCCUUCUUACUGUUAUUCUCUCUCUCUCUCUCGUUUACCUGAUACAUGUUUGUGCUUAUGAAUAAUUGUACUGACUGUUGGCUGUAAGCAUAUAUGUUAUAAAUGUGCAUGAUUGUGAUGAUUUGAUUCCUAUCUGUAUGUUUACCUUGUAUUAUGCCUGCACGAGUGGAAGUCUAGUGGCGAGCAACCUUAAUUAUUUGCAUUAUGCUAUGUGCAUUAUCAUGUUGUACCACUAUGAAAUUGGUCCAGGAACCCGGAUUAUUAAAAGUAUCGUAUCGUCU
rnacentral:misc_RNA from 1 species